rnacentral:rRNA from 1 species
UACGUAGGGGGCGAGCGUUGUCCGGAAUUAUUGGGCGUAAAGCGCGUGUAGGCGGUCCGGUAAGUCCGCUGUGAAAGUCGAGGGCUCAACCCUCGAAUGCCGGUGGAUACUGUCGGGCUAGAGUGCGGAAGAGGCGAGUGGAAUUCCUGGUGUAGCGGUGAAAUGCGCAGAUAUCAGGAGGAACACCUAUUGCGAAGGCAGCUCGCUGGGACGUUACUGACGCUGAGACGCGAAAGCGUGGGGAGCAAACAGG